GGGACACGUGGUAUCCUGUCUGAAUAUGGGGGGACCAUCCUCCAAGGCUAAAUACUCCUGACUGACCGAUAGUGAACCAGUACCGUGAGGGAAAGGCGAAAAGAACCCCGGCGAGGGGAGUGAAAAAGAACCUGAAACCGUGUACGUACAAGCAGUGGGAGCACAGGUUUACCUGUGUGACUGCGUACCUUUUGUAUAAUGGGUCAGCGACUUAUAUUCUGUAGCAAGGUUAACCGAAUAGGGGAGCCGGAGGGAAACCGAGUCUUAAUUGGGCGUUAAGUUGCAGGGUAUAGACCCGAAACCCGGUGAUCUAGCCAUGGGCAGGUUGAAGGUUGGGUAACACUAACUGGAGGACCGAACCGACUAAUGUUGAAAAAUUAGCGGAUGACCUGUGGCUGGGGGUGAAAGGCCAAUCAAACCGGGAGAUAGCUGGUUCUCCCCGAAAGCUAUUUAGGUAGCGCCUCGUGAAUUCAUCUCCGGGGGUAGAGCACUGUUUCGGCUAGGGGGCCAUCCCGGCUUACCAACCCGAUGCAAACUGCGAAUACCGGAGAAUGUUAUCACGGGAGACACACGGCGGGUGCUAACGUCCGUCGUGAAGAGGGAAACAACCCAGACCGCCAGCUAAGGUCCCAAAGUCAUGGUUAAGUGGGAAACGAUGUGGGAAGGCCCAGACAGCCAGGAUGUUGGCUUAGAAGCAGCCAUCAUUUAAAGAAAGCGUAAUAGCUCACUGGUCGAGUCGGCCUGCGCGGAAGAUGUAACGGGGCUAAACCAUGCACCGAAGCUGCGGCAGCGACGCUUAUGCGUUGUUGGGUAGGGGAGCGUUCUGUAAGCCUGUGAAGGUGUGUCGUGAGGCAUGCUGGAGGUAUCAGAAGUGCGAAUGCUGACAUAAGUAACGAUAAAGCGGGUGAAAAGCCCGCUCGCCGGAAGACCAAGGGUUCCUGUCCAACGUUAAUCGGGGCAGGGUGAGUCGACCCCUAAGGCGAGGCCGAAAGGCGUAGUCGAUGGGAAACGGGUUAAUAUUCCCGUACUUGGUGUUACUGCGAAGGGGGGACGGAGAAGGCUAUGUUGGCCGGGCGACGGUUGUCCCGGUUUAAGCGUGUAGGUGUGUGUUCCAGGUAAAUCCGGUUCACUUUAACACUGAGGCGUGAUGACGAGGCACUACGGUGCUGAAGCAACAAAUGCCCUGCUUCCAGGAAAAGCCUCUAAGCAUCAGGUAACAUCAAAUCGUACCCCAAACCGACACAGGUGGUCAGGUAGAGAAUACCAAGGCGCUUGAGAGAACUCGGGUGAAGGAACUAGGCAAAAUGGUGCCGUAACUUCGGGAGAAGGCACGCUGACAC
rnacentral:rRNA from 1 species